AUUGAACGCUGGCGGCAGGCCUAACACAUGCAAGUCGAGCGAGCGGCGGACGGGUGAGUAAUGCCUGGGAAUUGCCCAGUCGAGGGGGAUAACAGUUGGAAACGACUGCUAAUACCGCAUACGAUUGGAUUGCCCAGGUGGGAUUAGCUAGUUGGUGAGGUAAUGGCUCACCAAGGCGACGCUCCCUAGCUGGUCUGAGAGGAUGUGCAGCCAAACUGGAACUUGGACACGGUCCAUACUCCUACGGGAGGCAGCAGGGGGGAAUAUUGCACAAUGGGGGAAAACCUUAUGAUGCCAUGCGGAGUGUGUGAAGAAGGCCUUCGGGUUGUAAAUCACUUUCAGCGAGGAGGCGUUACUCGCAGCAGAAGCACCGGGUCACCCCGUGGCAGCAGCCGCGGUAAUUC
rnacentral:rRNA from 1 species